rnacentral:rRNA from 1 species
AUUGAACGCUAGCGGGAUGCUUUACACAUGCAAGUCGAACGGCAGCGCGAGAGAGCUUGCUCUCUUGGCGGCGAGUGGCGGACGGGUGAGUAAUAUAUCGGAACGUGCCCAGUAGCGGGGGAUAACUACUCGAAAGAGUGGCUAAUACCGCAUACGCCCUACGGGGGAAAGGGGGGGAUCGCAAGACCUCUCACUAUUGGAGCGGCCGAUAUCGGAUUAGCUAGUUGGUGGGGUAAAGGCUCACCAAGGCAACGAUCCGUAGCUGGUUUGAGAGGACGACCAGCCACACUGGGACUGAGACACGGCCCAGACUCCUACGGGAGGCAGCAGUGGGGAAUUUUGGACAAUGGGGGAAACCCUGAUCCAGCCAUCCCGCGUGUAUGAUGAAGGCCUUCGGGUUGUAAAGUACUUUUGGCAGAGAAGAAAAGGUAYCYCCUAAUACGRGRUACUGCUGACGGUAUCUGCAGAAUAAGCACCGGCUAACUACGU